AUAAUUAUGAAUAAAAUGCAUGAAUAUGAAUAUUGACCAUUUUGGAUCCACCAUAUAGAUACCCAAAAUUUCUACUUAAGUAAGAUAACGAAGUAUUUGUACUUCAUUACUUGACACCUCUGGUGAAAGUGAAACGAACCACAGUCUCACUUGCUUCAGUUCAGUUAAUCUGACAUUGGUAACUUGGUAAAGGUUGGAGAACAGUGAAAAUGAGUUUUCAGAUCUACUUUAGAGAUGAGAAAAAGAGAAUGAAAGUGUGUGUGUCGAACUCAGAGGAGGAAUUGAGGAACACCACAGUGGAGGAGCUGAAGAGAAAACUCAUUCCUGAAGACCAACGUGAGUCAGUCUGAUUCUGUCAUGUGAGGAGAAGAACAAAGAAAACUGUGAUAUUAUCAGCUGAGAAGACUGAGAUUAAGACACAUGUUAAUGAGGAACAUGUGUGUGUUUGCUGUUCUCAUGUUGUGUUUCUUUCACAGGUGAUGAUGCUGAACUUCUCUACAAACAUGAAACACUGAAGAAGAAUCGCACACUUGGUUUCUACGGCAUUAAACACGAGGAUGAGAUUAUUGCAGUACGCCGAGGAACCUCCAUUACAUGGACACCCAGUAGAAUAUCUCUCGCAGACCAUUGUUCAGGUUCAUUAUGGCUACGCAAACGAAGAUACCCUGAAGAUGAAGAUGAAGAUGAAGACGACGGAGCCAAACGAUGUUCACUUCUAAAUGAAGAAGAAGAGGAAAUAAUUCCCAGGACUCACUCUAUGGAUAAUCUGCUGUUGGAUAUGCAGCAGCCUCAGUGAAUAAUGUUCAGUCUCUCAUAAUCCUGAUCAAUAUAUUGAUAGUGUGAUCAUAAAUAUAUUGAUAGUGUGAUCAUAAAUAUAUUGAUAGUGUGAUCAGGUAUAGUUGAGAUUGACUACAGUAAAGUAAGUGAAUGGACAGUAGAUCAGAUCUCAUAAACACACGUGUGGAUCUGAACUGAGAUCAGAAUAUCAAGCUUCAGUUCACAGAAAUCCUCUCGAUCUCUUAUUAUUCACUCUUCAACAUCCACUGCAGACUGUAGCUGGUUUCUUUUUAGUACAAAAACACCUUACAGACAUUCAAUACAAAGUAAACAAAUCAUGAGAAUACCAGUUUACUGUGUUUAAAAUGACACACUUUAAAGUGUGGUAGAUUUUCUCUUAAGCACCUGACUUAAAGGUGCCCUAGAAUCAAAAAUUGAAUUUAUCUUGGCAUAGUUGAAUAACAAGAGUUCAGUACAUGGAAAUGACAUACAGUGAGUUUCAAACUCCACUGU